UAUCAUUUGUACAUUAGGGCAAGAGUGACAGACGUUGAACUGCAGGUAGUACAAUUAAAGCUGGUUACAGACGAGCAAGUUUUCUAUGAUAAGUUUUUAUGUGACAAGUUUUAUUUGCCAAGUGCAUGUGUAUAUAUGCAAAAAUUUUUAUAUGACAAGUUUUCAUAUCACAAGUUUUCAUAUGACAAGUUUUAUUUACUGGCGUGAACGUGUCAACAAGUUUACUUUGACAAUUUAUUAGUGGCCAGCUGGCCAAUCACAUCAAAUGCUCAGAUUACUUUGACAAGUUUUCUUUGUAAUGACCCAUACAGACGAACAAAAUUUGUACUUUGACAAUUUUUUCUAGCUAGCAUGCUAGCUUUUGAACAAGUGCACUUGUCAUAGAAAAACUUGUCAAAGUUGCGCGUACAAACGAGCAAAUAAAACUUGUCAAAGUUGCGCGUACAGACGAGCAAAUAAAACUUGUCACAUAAAAACUUGUCAUAGAAAACUUGCUUGUCUGUAACCGGCUUAAGUAGCCUAACAAUAUAUAUAUAUAGCAUUUGACAUUUGUAUAUUUCAUAAAUUUCAUGUAGUUUUAAAGCAGUUACCGUUAAAAUUUUGAGACGUGUACAAUAUAUAGCUAGCACUAGUUGCAUAUUCAUAAAUUUCAUGUAGUUUUAAAAGCAGUUAUUGUUAGAAUUUUGAGAAGUGUAUAACGAUACAUAGCUAGCACUCAGGAACGCACAGAGAAAUUCGGGGGCCCGGGACAAAUUUUUAAUUCAGGGCCUGUACUGUAGUUUUUCUCAAACUUUAACCUCUGACUUUAAACUCUUAUCUUUGAUAAAAGAUAAAAAUACAUUUAGUGGCUGCCGAGUUCAUUUGUGGGUGAUUAAUAUAUAAAUUGGCAAAUUAUUUUGACAAACCGUUACAAACCUUUAAAUUAUUUUGGCCCUGAUUAUCAUCGGUACAAUCAUUUAUAAAAAGCUAUAUAUAUAGUAGAAAUUUCCAUUCGGAAGUGAAGAACAGCAAAAUGUACAUGAG